AAGUAUGAAGCGAUUUAUUGCAAUUAGUUUCGACCUAAUCUUAGAUACCUAAUAUCCUUACUUU
rnacentral:tRNA from 1 species